rnacentral:rRNA from 1 species
GAUGAACGCUGGCGGCGUGCCUAAUACAUGCAAGUCGAGCGAACGGACGAGAAGCUUGCUUCUCUGAUGUUAGCGGCGGACGGGUGAGUAACACGUGGAUAACCUACCUAUAAGACUGGGAUAACUUCGGGAAACCGGAGCUAAUACCGGAUGAUAUUUUGAACCGCAUGGUUCAAAAGUGAAAGACGGUCUUGCUGUCACUUAUAGAUGGAUCCGCGCUGCAUUAGCUAGUUGGUAAGGUAACGGCUUACCAAGGCAACGAUGCAUAGCCGACCUGAGAGGGUGAUCGGCCACACGGGAACUGAGACACGGUCCAGAAUCCUACGGGAGGCAGCAGUAGGGAAUCUUCCGCAAUGGGCGAAAGCCUGACGGAGCAACGCCGCGUGAGUGAUGAAGGUCUUCGGAUCGUAAAACUCUGUUAUUAGGGAAGAACAUAUGUGUAAGUAAAUGUGCACAUCUUGACGGUACCUAAUCAGAAAGCCACGGCUAACUACGUG